rnacentral:rRNA from 1 species
GAUGAACGCUGGCGGCGUGCCUAAUACAUGCAAGUCGAGCGAACAGACGAGGAGCUUGCUCCUCUGACGUUAGCGGCGGACGGGUGAGUAACACGUGGAUAACCUACCUAUAAGACUGGGAUAACUUCGGGAAACCGGAGCUAAUACCGGAUAAUAUAUUGAACCGCAUGGUUCAAUAGUGAAAGACGGUUUUGCUGUCACUUAUAGAUGGAUCCGCGCCGCAUUAGCUAGUUGGUAAGGUAACGGCUUACCAAGGCAACGAUGCGUAGCCGACCUGAGAGGGUGAUCGGCCACACUGGAACUGAGACACGGUCCAGACGCCUACGGGAGGCAGCAGUAGGGAAUCUUCCGCAAUGGGCGAAAGCUUGACGGAGCAACGCCGCGUGAGUGAUGAAGGUCUUCGGAUCGUAAAACUCUGUUAUUAGGGAAGAACAAAUGUGUAAGUAACUAUGCACGUCUUGACGGUACCUAAUCAGAAAGCCACGGCUAACUACGUG